rnacentral:rRNA from 1 species
AAGCCAAAGUGCAGGUACCUGCAGAAGAAGCGCCGGCUACUACGUGCCAGCAGCCGCGGUAAUACGUAGGGCGCAAGCGUUGUCCGGAAUUAUUGGGCGUAAAGAGCUCGUAGGCGGUCUGUCGCGUCUGGUGUGAAAUCCCAUGGCUCAACUGUGGGCUUGCAUCGGGUACGGGCAGACUAGAGUGCUGUAGGGGAGACUGGAAUUCCUGGUGUAGCGGUGGAAUGCGCAGAUAUCAGGAGGAACACCGAUGGCGAAGGCAGGUCUCUGGGCAGUUACUGACGCUGAGGAGCGAAAGCAUGGGGAGCGAACAGGAUUAGAUACCCUGGUAGUCCAAGGCGUAAACGUU